CCUGUCAGACGACCUGCUUCCUCCGUCGUCGUUGGCCCAGUAGCCUUGCUGUGACGCCGCUCGAUCCGGCGUCCAGGCUCCCAGCCGUCAGCCGAUGUUCCUGGGGGAUUUGCCUAUUCGAGGCGGAUCAGAUUGCACUAACAAUCUAUGAGAGGUGAUGCUGGUAUGGCAGGAACAGUUGUAUUUGCUUCCCUGCAGUAUUCAGAGCUGCUCCCAUGACAAGCCUGGUGAUGCCGUGAAGGGAAAUAAGCUCUUCAAGCCCUUUAGCAACAUCCUCGUUUUCUAUUAUUAGUUUCUCGCAGCUGACCUAUAAAAGCAGAGACGAUUUAUCAGGCUUUCAGAGGAAUGAACCAUGGGGCACGAAUUCAGAAGAUGGCAAUGCCUUUUCGGACAUGUGAAAACAAGUUUAGUAGCUCAGCUAACAAAGAACGAGCAGGUAAGAAAGUCAAGGUAUGUUUACUCUCAGUGACUACAAUUUGCAUGACGAAACAAGAAAAUCCCUUUUAAGUUGUGCUGGUUGUAGCUGUGUACAGACUUUGCUUGGUCCUAACUGCUUUCCAUUGUCAACAAAACACAUCCAAUUUUUCGUGGAACCGCAAGUGGCGGCAGCAUUCAGGAUUUCAUGUUCAUGGAUACAGUAAUUGAAAUUCGUCAGGCAAUCGUCCAAACAACACGAGUAUCAAGGAAAGCUUACUCAUGGGGAUCAUCUGCGCGGGGCAGUGGACGUGGGCGAUCACGACCCCGGCGCCGUCCUUGGCCAGGCUCUCCAGCGCCCACAGCAGGGUGCUCUUCCCGUGCCUGACUUCCUCGGGCACGGCCACGAAAACCCUGCCCUCCACGGGCGGCGGGCUCGCCUCCUCCACCUCAUCGCCGGCGGUGAUGUCCGCGGCGCUGCUCACGGACGUCCUGAAGCUGUACUGCGACGACGACGACGUGUCCCACCGCCGGUGCGCCGCGCCCCCGGGGCUCUGCAUCCUUCCGGACCUAGCUCCGGCUGAAGCCGCUGUUGGCGAAGGAAUUCUGGAUAUGUAGCAUUGGGUGCCAUUUCCCGUACGAGCUCGGAUUGGCUUGAUGACCUCGGCCACGUCAACUCCGACGGAAUUAACAUUGCCAGGCACCUUCCCGUAGCGUCUCAAGAUACCGAGGACAUUUGAUUUGGCUCCAUGCCACCAUCCCUUAAAAAAAACUGAUGGUUGUC